GUAAUACUAGCUCAUUUGGCAGAGCGCCGAUCUGUGGCUUCGGAGGUAUCCGGUUCGAUCCCGGAGUUUUACCCA
rnacentral:tRNA from 1 species